GAUACUGGAGGGGUGUGAAUUGAAUGGGGUGCAGUACAUGGAUGCUACUAUGUGGAUGCAUCAUCCGCGUACUGCUAAGAUGAAAGAGUUCCUCUCUGAUUCUCAGCGUUUUGGACAACUCAAAUCGAUUCAUAGCACGUUUUCUUAUCUUGGUGACGCGGAGUUUCUUGAGAAUGACAUUCGCGUGAAGUCCGAUCUUGAUGCUCUUGGUGCUCUAGGUGAUGCUGGUUGGUAUAGUAUUCGGGCAAUCUUGUGGACUAAUGAUUAUGAAUUGCCAAAAACAGUAACAGCUCUGGGUGAUCCAGAAUUUAAUGAAGCUGGAGUUAUCCUAUCUUGUGGCGCUUCUUUGAGUUGGAAAGACGGAAGGGUAGCAACUUUUUAUUGUUCAUUUUUAGCUAAUAUGGCCAUGGACAUCGUUGCUAUUGGAUCCAAAGGAAAUUUGCGGGUCCAUGACUUUGUAAUUCCAUUUCAAGAAAAUGUUGCUCCGUUUUACACUGUGGAAGGUUCGUGUUUUGGUGAACUUGCUAGAUCAAUUCAUCCUGCACCUAGUGAGCAUCAAGUCAAUACAGAUCUUCCUCAAGAGGCUCUGAUGGUAACGGAGUUUUCAAACCUGGUUGGAAGUAUCAAAGGGGAAGGUUCUAAACCUGAGAAGAAGUGGCCAACGAUUAGUAGAAAGACACAACUUGUGGUGGAUGCUGUCAAGGCAUCAAUUGAGAAAG
rnacentral:misc_RNA from 1 species